rnacentral:tRNA from 1 species
GUCCCGAUGGCGGAACUGGCAGACGCGCCAUCUUGAGGGGGUGGUACCGAAAGGUGUGGAGGUUCGAAUCCUCUUCGGGACA